rnacentral:rRNA from 1 species
GAGACGCUGGCGGCGUGGAUAAGGCAUGCAAGUCGAGAGGGUUAGACCCUCGGCAAACGGGUUAGUAACGCGUAGGAACGUGCCCUCAAGUCAUGAAUAACCCGGAGAAAUCCGGGAUAAUACAUGAUGUGCUCUACGGAGUAAAGAUUUAUCGCUUGAGGAGCGGCCUGCGUCCUAUCAGCUUGUUGGUAAGGUAAUGGCUUACCAAGGCAAUGACGGGUAGGGGGUGUGAGAGCAUGACCCCCAACAUUGGAACUGAGACACUGUCCAAACUCCUACGGGAGGCUGCAGUCGAGAAUAUUCCACAAUGGGCGAAAGCCUGAUGGAGCGACGCCGCGUGCAGGAUGAAGGCCCUAGGGUCGUAAACUGCUUUUGUUGAGGAACAAUUUUUUGAGCGUACUCAACGAAUAAGGGGUUACUAACUCUGUGCCAGCAGCCGCGGUAAUACAAGCCGAAUUCCAGGCACACU